rnacentral:rRNA from 1 species
GGGAAGUAAAAGUCGUAACAAGGUCUCCGUUGGUGAACCAGCGGAGGGAUCAUUACCGAGUUUACAACUCCCAAACCCCUGUGAACAUACCACUUGUUGCCUCGGCGGAUCAGCCCGCUCCCGGUAAAACGGGACGGCCCGCCAGAGGACCCCUAAACUCUGUUUCUAUAUAUAACUUCUGAGUAAAACCAUAAAUAAAUCAAAACUUUCAACAACGGAUCUCUUGGUUCUGGCAUCGAUGAAGAACGCAGCGAAAUGCGAUAAGUAAUGUGAAUUGCAGAAUUCAGUGAAUCAUCGAAUCUUUGAACGCACAUUGCGCCCGCCAGUAUUCUGGCGGGCAUGCCUGUUCGAGCGUCAUUUCAACCCUCAAGCACAGCUUGGUGUUGGGACUCGCGUUAAUUCGCGUUCCCCAAAUUGAUUGGCGGUCACGUCGAGCUUCCAUAGCGUAGUAGUAAAACCCUCGUUACUGGUAAUCGUCGCGGCCACGCCGUUAAACCCCAACUUCUGAAUGUUGACCUCGGAUCAGGUAGGAAUACCCGCUGAACUUAAGCAUAUCAAUAAGCGGAGGA